rnacentral:misc_RNA from 1 species
AACGGUCUAUACCUGCGGUACCUGCGGAGGGAUCAUUAUUGAAUAAAUUUGGUUAGAUUGUAUUGCUGGCUUUUUGAGAAGCAUGUGCACGUCUAAUCCAUUUUCAAUCCCCUGUGCAUCUUGUGUAGGCCUGUAUAACAUUUGAGCUAAUUUUAUGGCUCAGUUUAGAAUCUGCUGUAGUCUUAACAGGUGGUUCAGCUUUUUCUUGUAUUUCAGGUCUAUGUUCUAUAACACCCCAUU